UGAGGGAAAGCUGCAAAGUACUCUGAAGAGAGAGUUCAAAAGGACGUGAAGCCGUCUGCAGGGAAACGGGUGAGACCGCACGGUAGACCCGCGGCGGAUUCAGCUCCGGGGGCGACCUCGGGGUGCACUUCCGCGCCUGCGGGUCGCGCAGGGUCCGACUCUGCGGCCGUCUGAAGCUCGGCGAGGAGGUGACGGGGUCUCUCGGGACUCCGAGUUUAACUCGCCGAUGCGGAGACCGGCCGCGGGGUCGAGGCUUGUCCAUCCGUCUAUCUAGACGCGCGUG
rnacentral:rRNA from 1 species